rnacentral:rRNA from 1 species
UACGUAGGGUGCAAGCGUUAAUCGGAAUUACUGGGCGUAAAGCGUGCGCAGGCGGUGAUGUAAGACAGAUGUGAAAUCCCCGGGCUCAACCUGGGAACUGCAUUUGUGACUGCAUCGCUGGAGUGCGGCAGAGGGGGAUGGAAUUCCGCGUGUAGCAGUGAAAUGCGUAGAUAUCAGGAGGAACACCGAUGGCGAAGGCAGGUCUCUGGGCUGAAACUGACGCUCAUGCACGAAAGCGUGGGGAGCAAACAGG